UACGGAGGGGGCUAGCGUUGUUCGGAAUUACUGGGCGUAAAGCGCGCGUAGGCGGCUUUGUAAGUUAGAGGUGAAAGCCCGGAGCUCAACUCCGGAACUGCCUUUAAAACUGCAUCGCUUGAAUCCAGGAGAGGUGAGUGGAAUUCCGAGUGUAGAGGUGAAAUUCGUAGAUAUUCGGAAGAACACCAGUGGCGAAGGCGGCUCACUGGACUGGUAUUGACGCUGAGGUGGCGAAAAGCGUGGGGAGCAAACAGG
rnacentral:rRNA from 1 species